AUUGAUAUGCAUUAAUGAGAUCCCCUCUCAGUCUUCUCUUCUCUAGACUGAACAGGCCCAGCUCCCACAAUCUCUCCUUUUAAGAGAGAUGCUCUAGACCCCUUAUCAUCCUUGUGGCCCUCCACUGGACAAUAUGGUCCUCCCCAUCUGCUUGGGAUGAAACAAGAAUUUUAUUCUCUCAAGACCUAAGUCAGGUUUGCUGGCUUCUCCUUGCUCCAGAGGGUAGUUUUGUACAAAGUCAGAGCUGAAACAAGGCAAAUGAAGGGGUGGAGUUGUCAUCCAGUUGUCAUCAAAACCCACAAGCCAUUAACCAGGUGCAUGGACUCUCUGGAACAUGGGAAGUUAGAGGCAGAGCAGGGGUUUGAACUGAGAUCUCCAAAUUGUGAGAGUCCUAAACUUAUUUUUAAGUGAGGAAAAAAAACCCUUAAGACUUUUUUUCUUUUUUUCUGGGUGGGGGGAGGAGGUGCCUCUGGAAAGCAGUAGAAGGAUUCAGUCAUAUGCAUAGUAAUGUGUAAUUGAAGGAUGGUGGCUUUGCCCAGCUGGCUUAGAUCUCACCUCUAAGCCUGUACUCAAAAAGACCUAACUAUUCUGAGUGGCAUGGGAAGCUCUCCAGGGCCUAGAAUGUGAGAAGUAAUCAAUUCUUGUAGAAACAUUUCUGCGAUGCCAUGGAAUCCAGCCAAGAGACAUGAUGAAAGUGAAAACUGUUUUCUAGGACAUCCAGUUUCAUUUAAUUUUGUCAUGCCCAUAGAACUUUUCAGCAAACGUCUAUAUCUUUCCAUGUGUUGUGUCCUGCAUCCUUUUGUGGUUUGGUUACCCUGGCAAUCCAGCUAAUUUUCCAGAAAUGUCAGCUCCAUCAGAGUUCAUUGACUUGUUACAUUAAUGGCUUGCUUGCUCCUUUAGUAGUCUUCAGCCUUCAUUGACUGCAAAUUGUUUCAUGGGCUUGGACCCUUAUGAGAAGAGAUCUGCAGAGAGGGUUAUGCUCUGGCAUGCUUGAUUGGAGCUGAUUUUUUUUCCUUACGUUUUCUUCACUCUGGCUGGACUGAUGGUUCUUGUUUCUUGAAACAGUGGGGUAAUUUUUCUACAUAUCACCAGACUUCUGUUCCAGUAAGUUCUCAAUAGGAAUGAUGUUUUCCAGUAAGUCUCUUACGUGCCUCCCUUCAAUGUGUUUGUACAAUAGUUUGACUUGAAAAAGUCUCAACAUCAUUUCUGCCUCUAGGCAAGCCACAGAGGGACCAGGUAUAACAAGUUUGUCUGUAUUUUCCACUUGAUUUUAGAAUUUUUUAGAUCUUGAGGAUGAAGAGAUACAGCCUACGAGGUACUUAAAUAUGCAACAACACUGAGCAUUCAAAUGCCUGGCUCACUGAAUGCCAUGUGGGGUGUUUGCACUCUAUAUGGGGAGAGUUCGGUGCCUCAGAAGAACAGAACCUGACUGCACAAGGAGCUGCUUCCUGGAAGGGGAAGCCACACGGGGAAGCCCAAGCAGACAAAAGCUGCCUCCCAUUAAAAAAAAAAUCCAACAAAAUAAUUAAAAAACGCCACAAACAACCCAUGAAAUGUUAAACAGAGGUUGAUCCAUGUCUUUUAGUAUCUUCUUUGCUUCUUUGCCCAUGUUUUUGGAGAGGAUACAGGCUUCACAUUCUCCUCUGGAUACUGGCAAUGGAGAGGAUUGAUGCAAGAUGAACCACAUGGGAGGAGGAGUGGAGAGACUGUGGUGAUGAAGGGGUGGCAGAACAGGACUGGGGAGCUUCUGAAGCUUUUAACCACAGCAAGCCCAAGUGAGGGCCAUCCCUUUUUAUAAAGGCAUAGUCAUGGGGUUUUCUUUGAGAAGUCCACCGUAAGUGAAAUCCUAAAAGUGCUUGAGGAGUCCACCAUAAGCCAAAUCUUACAAGUGCUCUGGAUCUCAGAGUGUCAAGGUUUCAAGCUUGUUCAAAAGCCAGGCCUUUCCCAUCUUGAAGGGCACUAGCUUGUACUGUUGGGGACGAAAUGAGGCUGUAUCAACUCCAAAGCUGUUUCAGAUGUUGUGAUUUUUUGAGAACAAUGUCAGGAUUCCAGCAGAUGAAGAAGACCGCACUAAAGCAGAUUUCUUCACUGAGACACAGAGAGCAACUUGUCAUCACAGCUGCCCUUGAAGUUGGGGAAUUCACAGCUGCACCUGAAGGGUAGAAGAAAGCCCGAGGCACCGUCCUGCGGCACACUGUCCAUUUUAUCAUCGGGGAAAUGACUGACUGCAGAGCGAGUGGCUGUGUUUUCGAAGCCCCGGUAGAUCUGUAGCAGUUGAUGAGAAGCAGGUGGUUUACCAGUCGGUCGUGCUCACCUUGCAAACUUUGUUCCUCUUCCACAUCAAGUCAUUCAUGACACAGCCUUCAAUUCAUCAUCACCUUCUCAUUCUGGAAAACUUAAACCCUGGACCAAACAGAGGGGAACCACCGGGCUGCCUGGAUGCUGGAACUGUGGUGGUGGAUGCUUAAACAGGAGACGUCCUCUAUUAGACCGGCUGCUACCAGCUUUCCCCACAAACAUCAUCUCACCCGUGUCCUUAGACUGCCACAGCAUCACUGCUGCAGCAUCCCUGCUGUACCUGUGAGAGGGGGCAAGCGCCCGCAGGAGAGGCUCUGUGCGGGGGGAGAGGGAGCCCAGGUGCACCGGAGCCAUCUCCCACCGAAACUGCCCCGGCGGCUGUGACUGAAAUUUAAUUUGCCUGGUGCAUUCAGUGGACAUUUUAAUCAGCAUUUCCUACAAUCUACUUGGCAAAGAGGCUCAACUGGCAGCUGCCUGACUGAAUGGGCUUUGCACCCAGACUAACCUUCUCCAUUCGCAAUUUCCAAUGCUGGAAAACCUCUCUGUCUCACUCUCAGAAGUUUCUAUAGCAAUCACGGUCGUCCUAGCGAAGCACUGAAAAUGGCAGCCCAUUCAGAUUGUAAUUUCGCUGGACAGUAAUUGCUCCUCUCUCCAUUGGCCUCUGAAAUGUUACUUUUCAGUAGAUAUCAACUGCAACUGGAGGAGACUGGUCCUCUGCCUGUGUUUUCAACAAAUUUCACUCCCCCUCCACCCCAACUAACUUUGUUAGCUGUUUACAGCGUGUGUGAACUUUGACUAACGGGAAGAGAUGUUGGGCACAUCGUACCUCAGCUACAGGAAAGACCUGACAUGAGCAAUGCUCUUCACAAGCCUGCAGGAAAAAAACCUCACCGCUCAACACGUCGUGUUGUGACCUGAACAUUAUCCAUCACUGUAGGUAGAAAAAGUUACACAAGUGUUUGGCUUUGCUAAUUGUAAAAUACUGGAGGAUACAAAGAAAGCCUUUUUCUUCAUGUCAGUGAGCUUACUUUUCCUGGUUCAGUUAACUUCAGCUUAAACAAUCACUUGAUCUUUUGUUCCAUGCUUCAUCUUUCACUGGCUGUGAUCGCUCUUAAUUACUGUGACACUGAAGAGCCUCAUGCUAAAAAUAUAUUAAGUAACAGAAUGAAAAGUUUUGCUCCCUGCAAGAAGAGGAUGCGGUAGAAUUGAACCACAACUUGUGAAGGAACUGAUCAACCAUUCCUUAAACUCUUCUAAUAAUCUUUCCCUAUACUUUUAUGGCUAUUGUUGCCUGCUGGAAAAAUUAGCUUAAAGCUGAGUAAGGGGAAUUGUGGAUAAGUGUUUGCAAUUUGGCUUUGGACUGACACAGUGUGAUUGCACUCAAAGAAUUUGAAGUCUUUGCACUGGCAGCAGUAAUUGAAUCUGGGAAUAUAGGAUUCGCAUUGGAAAAGAGUGGAUUUUUAUAACGAUUUAAAUGAACAAUUUCAGCUAGAGAGUGGAUUAACAGAGCCAACUAAACCCUUCACCCUGACAAAGAACUGGCGGGAGGACUAUAGAAACUCAUCCAAAAUUUUACCAACAUGAAUGCAGAGUAAUAGGUCAGUGAGAAGCGUUUCUGUAUUUUAGUGGCGCUCUUAGAAUUCAAUUCAAUUUAAAACAAAAGUUGUUUUACAAAUAUGUGGAGAAUGCAGAAGGCUGGAGAGGGAGCAAGUGGCCUGCAUCCUCCAUCUGCUCCAUCCUCCCUCUACUCUCGCGCAAGGCACUGCCGCUGCAAGUCCUUCUUCUCGGUGGACAGAAAGGCAACCGCAGGCGCUGCCCCAACCCAGGGGUCAGAAAACAUCUCCCUUUCUGCAGGGACACAGAUGCACCCCCAGGCCCCACACCCUGUAUUUCAUAUGUGCCAGAGCUCUCGAGGCCCAAAGCGAAGCAGCAGGAAACUCCAAGCCCAGGGGUCUUGGGAAGCAGAGACACACACAAACCAACAUCAGAAAUGAGGUUGCAGAACAACAGGAAAAGAUGAAUGUCCCAAGACGAGCAGCACUCGUCUCUGAUAAGAGAUGGACACAUUGGGGAUUGCUCAUCUCUGGGAGGAAAUGGAUCAGAAGGAUAGGAGAGAAACAUCCAUUGGACAAACAAAACUGCAAAGGCAGAUUGGCUGCAUCUGUUCUUGAAGUAUUUCGGAAGAGGCAGCAAAGUACGUAAAGGGGCUGUUCUUUGAGCAAAAUAACUAGACCCUGACGUCUCACUGCAGCAGGGUGCUUGAGGGGAAAAAAAAAGAUUUAAAUGAGCCUGGAGAAAGAUCCAGUGUUUACGUAAGUAACAAGGCAUGCAGCCAUUCUGAGGAUACAGCCUCCUGCUCCACAAACCUCUGCAAAUCUGUACUGGGGGGGUAUUAAGAAAUUUUCUGGAUGCUCUUCUCAAACACUGGAUAUCAUACUGCUGCAGGCAAGAUACUGGAGCAAGUUGGCCACAGCUUGAUACUCAAUAUGACAAUGACUCUCUGCAAGAAAUGGAGAGACUGAAUGUUUCCAGCAGAAGGCAUAGAAAUAGCCCCAAAAUUUAACCCCUCCUAGAAAAUUUUACACCACUGGUUUCUCAAGCCCAAACUGUAAAGGACUGUUGACCCUCUGCCACUGGCAUGGGUGAAGAAGUGUCACACUGAGCCUUGCUCUCCCAUUCCCAACACUAAGAGGUGCUGCAUGAGGGCACCUGCACUGGGGGCUGCAGUGACCCUCCCAGCCCAUCAGGGCAGGGACUUCUCUGCCUGCCCAAGUGUUAACUAACUUCUUCCCAGGGGCACUUUUCCAAGCUGCGCAGAACCUGUAACAACUAACCACAGCACUAAUUAGCUGUCAGCAAAAGCACAUCUUGAACAGUAAGAAUCCCAAAUUAACAGGAAAAAAAAGAGCACUUUAAUUGUGGUUUGCACUCAAGCUGCAGCGCCUCACCCUCAAGUUGCUGGAGAAAAGAGUCAGGUGGAAAAAAGGGUUCCAAACCCCAAAAUGGGGGCUGCCGGCAGCAGUAACUGAGGAGGACAAGUCUAAACUGCGUGUGGAGGAGGAGGACCUUUCUCACAAGCCCUGGAUACACCUACUAAAGGCUGAGCCACAUGUUGGGCAAUGGCCUGUGGUGCUAUGGCUCAUCCAGGCAACUGAGUGCCCAGAAACCGGCAGUGCUGCCAGUCCAGGUUUGUACCCUGGGUACACAGAUAAAAAACCCUAAAUCUCACCAAGUCAUUAACAGAAGGCCUUUCUUUUCAGAACACUUAUGUAAAAAUAGCACGAAUGAUAAGUGAAAUGCUUAUAAAAUCUGGAUUUAUUAAUUUUUCUUUAUUACAACAUAAAUUAUUCUCAAAUAACGGAAAGAUUUAAGUAUUCAGUUCGCUAUAUAUUACUCAAAAUGAUAUAUUUUUAAAAAAAUAAUUCUCAGUAUACAAGGAAAAUCCCAACAGAAUUUACAAAGCUGCUGUAGUUCACAAGUACAGGAGCUAAAGUUGUAAUGAAUCACACAGGAAAUGUGUUGCUACAGGUAGAAGAAAAACUACAUGACUUGGUUAGGGUUUGAAUCAUAAACCUUAGAUUAUAUUUUUUUCUUUAAAAUAGAUGCUUUAUUAAAAAAAAAAAUCCUCACAGGAAAGAGGCACGUGGUGUGUAGUUGAUGGCAAUAAUUCUGUAACCCAAACAAGGAAACUAAUCCACUUUGAGUAGCUAAAUUAUUUUUUGCACUAUUUACAUACUUUACUGAAGUAUUUUCAUCCCGGAGCCUCAGCAAGCAGCUUAGAAUAUUAAUGAGUGAAGCCUGGCAGCACUCCAGUGUCAGCAAAUCAGAAAGUAACGUCAUUCCCGUUUUAUCAACAGGGAAACUGAGUCACCAGGAGUAUUCAGAUACAGGUAACUGCAGAAAGAAACCUCCUGGAUCUUGAUCCUCUUAGACAGGCCCUGAUGGAGAGACUGUUCUUCCUCCUUGUUAGAUGGCUGGUGACCAUGAAGAGCACUGUUUGAAACUCAGUCAGGUUUUUUUUUCCAUGUUUAAACUGCUUCAAAAUAGGUGACAUCUAUCCAGCUAUAGUGUCAUUAUGAUCACCUUUACUCAAAAAAAAGCCAUUAAUGGUUUUCCUUUUUAGAUCAAAAGCAACAACAACAAGAAGCUCAUCUCUGAUCCCUCCAAAGACCUUUGGAAGGCUGUCUUGUUAUACCCAAAAUACUGUAAUUGUUCCCUCGAUCUGUGUAAAGUACUGUUCAGUUUGCAUUUCUGUGAGCCGCGAGACAGUACGCUGAAAGGCAAAGAUUUCCUCUUCUCCUGUGAACAUGGCGAGUCCUUUGGCAGAAUCCUACAUUAAUACAGAAAUACAACACCACAGAACUAACUGUGAGAGACAUGGCUGUACCGAAGUGCACCCUACCCAACUCCUCAGUCGAGUGCUUCACAGGCUUUGAUGAUACAAGACAGCAGCGUAAUAUCAAAAAACCUAAAAUUUACAUCCAAAUAUUAAAGGAAAACACCUAUUUCGGCGAGGUAAUCCUCUGAAGGAAUGUAGCAGAACAAUAAUUUGGGUUUAAAACUGCAUGAUGACACGUCAACCAUCUAUUUUCACUUUUCUGUUGACUAACUGUAUACUGAUUCAGAGAAAUCACUUAAAAAUUCAUUAUAAGUAACUAGGCUAUAGGGAAAAGGAAAACCAGAAUCGGUAACAUGCAAAAUAGUACUGUUUGUAAGGAUUUGUGAGGCAGUCCUAUGUAGUCUAGGAACACGCAGAACAGACUUUUAUUUCUGUAUUUUAAACGUAAACUGAAGUCAGUAUUUUCAUAGAUAAUUGUGCAGAUAUAAUGAUUAACUUAAGCAAAAUGGUUCUAUAUAUUGUGACGUUGACUAUGAAUCAAUGACAUGCAAUUACGAGAGCAACAGACACUGCAGAAAAAGCAGCAAAUCACUAGUCAAAUAUUUACUUGAUUCCUCUUCCUAAAAUGCUGCUGUAAUUAUGAAACCAAACCCAAUUUUGUUACAAAAGGGAGAAGAUGUUAAUAUCAUGUACCUGGCUCAAGUCCAGAUCGUCCAUCAAGACUCUGUUGUUCUCUACCUCACCACUAUCAUGUUCUACCAGGAACAAGCUUUGGAGAGGAGUCACUGCAGAACAAAUAAUACGCACCUGAGAGGAGAAGAGGCAACAAUAUCAUCACUUGGGCUUUAGAGAAAACAGAUAAAAAUACAUGUUUUACAGAAAGCAAGCUUCAAAUUACAACCUUGGGGUUUUUCCAGUCCCCCAGCCACUACUAUGAACUUCUUAACCAGAAACCAAGAAUAUAAUCAUGUUGAGAGCCAACAACAGCUUCACGCAUCACCUCUGAAAAAGCUCUCAUCUGGAAAAAGAGUAGCUGAAGUCAAAAUGUUUUGAUGAGAUAAAGCAUGAAAAUGUUCAAGAAAGUGAAAGGUAGCUGCUGGCUGGCAACAUCACACAGCCAGCCCACCGCAUCUCUCACCAUCAGGACUGAAGUACUGUUGAGUACAGAAGAGAUCAAGUACACCAGUGUGCUGAGUACCUGAGAGGGACAGCAGCAGUGAUCUAACUGCAUGCAGGAAAGGAAAUAAUUUCUCAUGUCUCUCCUUAGACUCUAUACCUAUUUUAAACCUCCAACUUCUCUGCAAAGAUAUACAGCUGAAGAAAGAAAGUGGGGAAAAAAAGUCAUCCGAAAGCACAGAAUCCCAGGAAAAUCCAUGUAUCUCUAAUUCCGCUUACAAAGAAAGAGAAUAACAGAGCAGAAGAAAAAAGUUCCAGAGGCAUCUAAUAAUAUGCACAAGGGAGGGAGGAUGUUUAAGCUUUUCUUCAGCAUCAGUCUGGCAGUCAAGGCUAGAAGGAAGAUUCCUGAAAUUUCACAGCAGCACUGGUGUACUUCGCUUUUCUCUGCCAGGCACCGAUGCUCAGCACCUUUCCACCUAAUGUUUUAUUUUCCCAAAGUAGUACAUUAGCUCAAGUACUAUUUUCUUCAUGUUGGGGGGACGGGGAGGAAAUACAACACAUUACCACUACAGCUAUGUAGGCUAUGAGAUUAUUUAGAUACUCAGAUAUUUAGUAACUGUUUAUAAUUUUGGUUGUUUCAUUUUUCUCUUGGAAACAACAGGUAGGAAAUUUUGCAUAAAUUCAGCCUCAUCUCUUUGGCCUUCAAGAUGGGUUUAUAAACACUGCUGUUCUCUCAGGCUGUUGAAUUGCACAUAGUGUGACAAAUGAACACAGAGCUACAUAUACUUAAGAGCGUGGCAUGGUCAUGGUAGGGCUGAGAUUGAAAAACAAGUGCACCUGAACACUGUCGCCAGUGUAAAUCUAUUGUGCUGAUAUUUAUAGUGGUACUUGUGGCUCAGCUGCUGAUGGCUGCUGAGUUGAGCAGAGACCCACAGACCGGUACUGGGCUAUAUUAUGCAGGUCACUGCGGCUUGCUGAAAUAUAAAUCAGCACUUGGUGAUACAGUAUUUUAGUGUAUUUGUGUUCCGCUUACAAACUCAUCGCUCCAUAAAUGCACUGACAGUCUUUAUGACUCCAUGAUUUAACAUUACAGCAAAUGAGUUUUGGAGGUAAGGACAACAGAUGUAAAUACUACGAAUAUAGCUGUGAAGUAAUUGCAUUUCUUCUGCCUUCCUUCCCUUUUCUGUUUCUUCAAAGUAAUUAGUAUUAUUGCUAUUCAGAAAAAAUCGCUAUCAUUAAUGGACACUAGUGAAGAAGAGCUUGUGUGCUCAAAAGCUUAUUUAUGUUUUGGGGCCCUUUUUAAGCUAUGAACAGUUGCCUAAAUGAAUGAUAUUUCUUUUUCCUAUAAACCUUGUCUUCGAGGUCUACAAUGAUGUACCACUAUUGAUUCUAAUGUGAUACAACAUUACACAGUUUAUUUUUAAAAUAUCUGUUGGGUAUUCUGGGCUGUAAGACCUUUCAGCAAGAAAGGCAAUAGCACCAUCCUGUUCAGAGGUAAAUAAAAUGCAGUUAUUACGGUCCUACUGAUUUUCUGCUUCCUUAGGAGGCGAAAGUGAACUGAACCAAGCAUAAACAAAAUGGAAAGCUAGAAUUCUGACAUACAGAAGUUUUCUGUGAUACACUAUAUAUGCAUAGAAGUAAAGGCCAGUUAACAGGAAUAGAGAGAUACUUAGGCCUUUGGAAAACAUUUGGCAUUUUACUAUCCUGCUCCUUGGGUGAUUAAUUUCUGAGUUUAAUUUGGGUUGGGGGGUGGGGUAGGGGGUUUUUUUGGCUUGAGUCUGUCCUAUCUUUCAAAUACAGUUGUCUCAUAUUUUUCAAACCAGCAUACUCCAUCAAAUUCUGGUUUGUAUUUUCCUUUGAAUCUCUAGCACAUUUUUCAUCCAUUACUGUCUCAAGAACCACUGACUUGGAUCUCAAAGCCAGUUUCUCCCCCCUCCCCUUUUUUUUUUUGCCUCUCGAGGCUGAUCCUCAGUUCAGGAAGGUGCUCCAGCCAUUUAGAGCCCAUAAAAAUAAGCCAGCCACAACAAUUUCCUAACCCUUCUACAUGUUCAUGUGAGUAUCUACCAGUGUUUGCCAUUAAUUAGUUUUAUUGCGACACUUCAAAGGUCACUCAUACUUAUUCUGUUUGGCACUGUAUAAAUAUACAUAAAACGGACAGCCCUGCAAUUAAAACAAAACAUUACGAUCUGUGUAACAACAUGC